GAAAUGCGAUGAGUAAUGUGAAUUGCAGAAUUCAGUGAAUCAUCGAAUCUUUGAACGCACAUUGCGCCCGCCAGUAUUCUGGCGGGCAUGCCUGUUCGAGCGUCAUUUCAACCAUCAAGCCCCCGGCUUGUGUUGGGGACCUGCGGCUGCCCGCAGGCCCUGAAAAACGGUGGCGGGCUCGCUGUCACACCGAGCGUAGUAGCAUACAUUCUCGCUCAGGGCGUGCUGCGGGUUCCGGCCGUUAAACGACCUUCAUAACCCAAGGUUGACCUCGGAUCAGGUAGGAAGACCCGCUGAACUUAAGC
rnacentral:misc_RNA from 1 species